CACCGCCCGUCACACCAUGGGAAUUGGAUCUACCCGAAGGUGGUGCGCCAACCUGGCAACAGGAGGCAGCCAACCACGGUAGGUUCAGUGACUGGGGUG
rnacentral:rRNA from 1 species